rnacentral:rRNA from 1 species
UAGGGAAUAUUGCUCAAUGGGGGAAACCCUGAAGCAGCAACGCCGCGUGGAGGAUGAAGGUUUUCGGAUUGUAAACUCCUUUUGUGAGAGAAGAUAAUGACGGUAUCUCACGAAUAAGCACCGGCUAACUCCGUGCCAGCAGCCGCGGUAAUACGGAGGGUGCAAGCGUUACUCGGAAUCACUGGGCGUAAAGAGUGCGCAGGCGGAUUAAUAAGUCAGAUGUGAAAUCCUAUGGCUUAACCAUAGAACUGCAUUUGAAACUAUUAGUCUAGAGUGUGGGAGAGGUAGGUGGAAUUCUUGGUGUAGGGGUAAAAUCCGUAGAUAUCAAGAGGAAUACUCAUUGCGAAGGCGACCUACUGGAACAUUACUGACGCUCAUGCACGAAAGCGUGGGGAGCAAACAGG